rnacentral:tRNA from 1 species
GGGGCUCAGUGGUACAGCAUCUGCUUGGCAUGCAGAAGUCCACAGGUUCAGUACCCAGCAUCUCCA